rnacentral:rRNA from 1 species
CCUACGGGAGGCAGCAGUGGGGAAUAUUGGGCAAUGGGCGCAAUCCUGACCCAGCAACGCCGCGUGAAGGAAGAAGGCUUUCGGGUUGUAAACUUCUUUUCUCAGGGACGAAGCAAGUGACGGUACCUGAGGAAUAAGCCACGGCUAACUACGUGCCAGCAGCCGCGGUAAUACGUAGGUGGCAAGCGUUAUCCGGAUUUACUGGGUGUAAAGGGUGUGUAGGCGGGGACGCAAGUCAGAUGUGAAAACCAUGGGCUCAACCUGUGGCCUGCAUUUGAACCUGUGUUUCUUGAGUACUGGAGAGGCAGACGGAAUUCGUGGUGUAGCGGUGAAAUGCGUAGAUAUUAGGAGGAACACCAGUGGCGAAGGCGGUCUGCUGGACAGCAACUGACGCUGAGGCGCGAAAGCGUGGGGAGCAAACAGGAUUAGAUACCCGUGUAGUC